AUAAGGAUAUAGCUUGGUUAAUUUAUCAAAUUUAAAUGACACGAAGUCAGUUUAUUUUCAACAAGGAAUCUAUCUCAUCAGUCUUUUUGCCGCCACACCCGCACUUCUCUAAAUGAUUAUGAGUAGGAACACGCUUCCUGUGUUAAGGAUACAAAGUAACCGUACCUUCUUCACCUUGCUAGUGGGCCAGUCCAGUGGUCGUAGCUGACUUCCUGCUGGGUGUAUGUUCUGUGUGUUAGGGAUUAGGCUAGAUACCUUGCUAGUGGGCCAGUCCAGUGGUCGUAGCUGACUUCCUGCUGGGUGUAUGUUCUGUGUGUUAGGGAUUAGGCUAGAUACCUUGCUAGUGGGCCAGUCCAGUGGUCGUAGCUGACUUCCUGCUGGGUGUAUGUUCUGUGUGUUAGGGAUUAGGCUAGAUACCUUGCUAUAUAGGUCAGGUAAUGACUAACUCGCGUCAUCAGCUGCCCUGAGUUGUGGUAGGUUUAGAAAAGUAGUAACCUCGGGAAUCCUUGACCAUCCAUGUGUAUGUGACAAAUAAAAUUGGAUUUGAUUCUAGCAAUACGAUAGACUUGUUAAAUGCCAUUCAAACAAAUGUCUUUGUGUGCUAUGCUGAUUUAAAAAAAAAUGUUUUGCCUACUGGCAUAUCUUAACCAACAGUGUCUGUCGCAUUUAGGUCCCAAAACAGAUCUAUAGUACCAGGUUAGCUAGAUCCUGUUAUCGGAGAUGUAUCAGGUCUGUUACCAGGCUAGCUAGAUCCUGUUAUCGGAGAUGUAUCAGGUCUGUUACCAGGCUAGCUAGAUCCUGUUAUCGGAGAUGUAUCAGGUCUGUUACCAGGCUAGCUAGAUCCUGUUAUCGGAGAUGUAUCAGGUCUGUUACCAGGCUAGCUAGAUAAACAGGUCUGUUACCAGGCUAGCUAGAUCCUGUUAUCGGAGAUAUAUCAGGUCUGUUACCAGGCUAGCUAGAUCCUGUUAUCGGAGAUAUAUCAGGUCUGUUACCAGGCUAGCUAGAUCCUGUUAUCGGAGAUAUAUCAGGUCUGUUACCAGGCUAGCUAGAUCCUGUUAUCGGAGAUAUAUCAGGUCUGUUACCAGGCUAGCUAGAUCCUGUUAUCGGAGAUAUAUCAGGUUUGUUACCAGGCUAGCUAGAUCCUGUUAUAGGAGAUAUAUCAGGUCUGUUACCAGGCUAGCUAGAUCCUGUUAUUGGAG
ensembl:lncRNA